rnacentral:rRNA from 1 species
UACGAAGGGGGCUAGCGUUGCUCGGAAUCACUGGGCGUAAAGCGCACGUAGGCGGGUCUUUAAGUCAGGGGUGAAAUCCUGGAGCUCAACUCCAGAACUGCCUUUGAUACUGAGGAUCUCGAGUCCGGGAGAGGUGAGUGGAACUCCGAGUGUAGAGGUGGAAUUCGUAGAUAUUCGGAAGAACACCAGUGGCGAAGGCGGCUCACUGGCCCGGUACUGACGCUGAUGUGCGAAAGCGUGGGGAGCAAACAGG